AGCGCCGAAGAAGCGAAAGUGACGGUAGGCGCAGAAGAAGCACCGGCUAACUACGUGCCAGCAGCCGCGGUAAUACGUAGGGUGCGAGCGUUGUCCGGAAUUAUUGGGCGUAAAGAGCUUGUAGGCGGUUUGUCGCGUCUGCUGUGAAAACCCAGGGCUUAACCCUGGGCCUGCAGUGGGUACGGGCAGACUAGAGUGUGGUAGGGGAGACUGGAAUUCCUGGUGUAGCGGUGAAAUGCGCAGAUAUCAGGAGGAACACCGAUGGCGAAGGCAGGUCUCUGGGCCACUACUGACGCUGAGAAGCGAAAGCAUGGGGAGCGAACAGGAUUAGAUACCCUGGUAGUCCAUGCCGUAAACGUUGGGCGCUAGGUGUGGGACUCAUUCCACGAGUUCCGUGCCGCAGCUAACGCAUUAAGCGCCCCGCCUGGGGAGUACGGCCGCAAGGCUAAAACUCAAAGGAAUUGACGGGGGCCCGCACAAGCGGCGGAGCAUGCGGAUUAAUUCGAUGCAACGCGAAGAACCUUACCAAGGCUUGACAUAUACCGGAAACAUCUGGAGACAGGUGCCCCGCAAGGUCGGUAUACAGGUGGUGCAUGGUUGUCGUCAGCUCGUGUCGUGAG
rnacentral:rRNA from 1 species